GAAGCAAUCAACAGUUGUGAUCGAGAAGAGAGGAGAAAAUUUCAAGUGUGAGAUUGUAUUUGAUGAGACUGAUAUGACAAUGGUACCAGAGCCAACUGUCAAACAGCACUCCAGCCAGCAACAUUUUCCUCUUGUAUUUUUUGACUUGGAAUCAACAGGAUUAACUAGAGAUUCUCAUAUUACACAGCUGUCGUGUGUGGUGAAGAAAAAUGUUCCACCUAUACCUUUCCAAAAAUACCUAUCACAGUAAAAGCCUCAGAAAUCACAGGAAUCGAAAUUGUCAAUGGAAAUAUGUUUAACAAAAAUAUAGAAGUCAAGCCUUUCAGCAGGAAUGGAUGCUCUGCUUAAUUUUGUUUCAAAAUUUUAAACUAAAGUAAUUCUGCAUUUACAAUGGCAGUGUAUGAAUGUCAACAAUAUACAGAAUGUUUAUUGUAUACUAUACCCAAUUUAACAUUUUCUGUUUAUGAG